GGGAAUGUGCAGACAGAGCUACUAUUCCGGAAGGAUCAAUCGACUUUCACAUUUGACAAAGGCUGGGCUUUUCCUCGGAGGAUCUAUUUUAAUGGCGACAAUUGUGUUAUGCCACCUCCGGAAGCCUAUCCCUACUUACCAAACACAGGUUCUAAGCAAGAUGUCUCGAUGUUUACUAUGCUAUUGCUGAUUUCCUUGACUCUCUUGUCUUUCCACCAUUCGUUUGCAUAACUUCUCUGUAUACUCGAGUCAUUCUGAAGUUUUGAAGCGGAUCAGUCUGGCCCAUACUAUUGCAAGAAAUGAUGAAUCUCACGGAUGUGGAUGAUGACUUUUAACUUCAAUUGUUGCUUCGGG
rnacentral:misc_RNA from 1 species